rnacentral:rRNA from 1 species
CACGUAGGGUGCGAGCGUUGUCCGGAAUUAUUGGGCGUAAAGGGCGUGUAGGCGGUCAGGUAAGUGGGAUGUGAAAUGCCCCGGCUCACCCGGGGACCGGCAUCCCAUACUGCUUGGCUUGAGUACGGGAGAGGAUGUGGGAAUUCCUGGUGUAGCGGUGAAAUGCGUAGAUAUCAGGAGGAACACCGGUGGCGAAGGCGCACAUCUGGCCCGAUACUGACGCUGAGGCGCGAAAGCUAGGGGAGCAAACGGG